GAUGAAGAACGCAGCGAAAUGCGAUACGUAAUGUGAAUUGCAGAUUUCAGUGAAUCAUCGAAUCUUUGAACGCACAUUGCGCCCCCUGGUAUUCCGGGGGGCAUGCCUGUUCGAGCGUCAUUUCACCACUCAAGCCUCGCUUGGUAUUGGGCAACGCGGUCCGCCGCGUGCCUCAAAUCGACCGGCUGGGUCUUCUGUCCCCUAAGCGUUGUGGAAACUAUUCGCUAAAGGGUGUUCGGGAGGCUACGCCGUAAAACAACCCCAUUUCUAAGGUUGACCUCGGAUCAGGUAGGGAUACCCGCUGAACUUAAGCAUAUCAAUAAGCGGAGGA
rnacentral:misc_RNA from 1 species